AUACGUAGGGUGCAAGCGUUAAUCGGAAUUACUGGGCGUAAAGCGCGCGCAGGCGGUUUUGUGAGACAGUGGUGAAAUCCCCGGGCUCAACCUGGGAACUGCCAUUGUGACUGCAAGGCUGGAGUGCGGCAGAGGGGGAUGGAAUUCCGCGUGUAGCAGUGAAAUGCGUAGAUAUGCGGAGGAACACCGAUGGCGAAGGCAAUCCCCUGGGCCUGCACUGACGCUCAUGCACGAAAGCGUGGGGAGCAAACAGGAUUAGAUACCCUGGUAGUCCACGCCCUAAACGAUGUCAACUGGUUGUUGGGGAUUUAUUUUCUCAGUAACGAAGCUAACGCGUGUAGUUGACCGCCUGGGGAGUACGGCCGCAAGGUUAAAACUCAAAGGAAUUGACGGGG
rnacentral:rRNA from 1 species